rnacentral:rRNA from 1 species
CUACGGGCCGCAGCAGUGGGGAAUAUUGCACAAUGGGGGAAACCCUGAUGCAGCGACGCCGCGUGAGUGAAGAAGUAUUUCGGUAUGUAAAGCUCUAUCAGCAGGAAAGAAAAUGACGGUACCUGACUAAGAGGCCCCGGCUAACUACGUGCCAGCAGCCGCGGUAAUACGUAGGGGGCAAGCGUUAUCCGGAUUUACUGGGUGUAAAGGGAGCGUAGACGGUAAUGUAAGUCUGGAGUGAAAGCCCAGGGCUCAACCCUGGGACUGCUUUGGAAACUGUGUUACUAGAGUGCAGGAGAGGUAAGUGGAAUUCCUAGUGUAGCGGUGAAAUGCGUAGAUAUUAGGAGGAACACCAGUGGCGAAGGCGGCUUACUGGACUGUAACUGACGUUGAGGCUCGAAAGCGUGGGGAGCAAACAGGAUUAGAUACCCCCGUAGUC